rnacentral:misc_RNA from 1 species
GAAAUGCGAUAAGUAAUGCGAAUUGCAGAAUUUCCGUGAGUCAUCGAAUCUUUGAACGCACAUUGCGCCCAUUGGUAUUCCGAUGGGCAUGCCUGUCCGAGCGUCAUUGCUGCCCUUCAAGCCCGGCUUGUGUGUUGGGUCGUCGUCCCCUCCGGGGGACGGGCCCGAAAGGCAGCGGCGGCACCGCGUCCGGUCCUCGAGCGUAUGGGGCUUUGUCACCCGCUCGAUAAGGACCGGCCGGGCGCCAGCCGGCGUCUCCAACCUUUUUUUCUCAGGUUGACCUCGGAUCAGGUAGGGAUACCCGCUGAACUUAAGC